rnacentral:rRNA from 1 species
UACGAAGGGGGCUAGCGUUACUCGGAUUGACUGGGCGUAAAGGGCGCGUAGGCGGUUCGUACAGUCAGACGUGAAAUUCCUGGGCUCAACCUGGGGGCUGCGCUUGAUACAUGUGCGCUUGAGUUCGGAAGAGGGUCGUGGAAUUCCCAGUGUAGAGGUGAAAUUCGUAGAUAUUGGGAAGAACACCGGUGGCGAAGGCGGCGACCUGGUCCGAUACUGACGCUGAGGCGCGAAAGCGUGGGGAGCAAACAGG